ACGAACCGUGCGAACGUUGUUCGGAAUCACUGGGCUUAAAGGGCGCGUAGGCGGGCACUCAAGUCGGUGGUGAAAGCCUCCGGCCUAACCGGAGAAGAGCUGUCGAUACUGGGUGUCUCGAGGGGUGUAGGGGUCUGUGGAACUUCGGGUGGAGCGGUGAAAUGCGUAGAGAUCCGAAGGAACGCCGGUGGCGAAAGCGACGGACUGGACACCUUCUGACGCUGAGGCGCGAAAGCCAGGGGAGCAAACGGGA
rnacentral:rRNA from 1 species